rnacentral:rRNA from 1 species
AGGUUACUGCUAUCGGUGUUCGCUUAAGCCAUGCGAGUCAUAUGUUCUUCGUGAACAUGGCGUACUGCUCAGUAACACGUGGAUAACCUGCCCUUGGGUCCGGCAUAACCCCGGGAAACUGGGGAUAAUUCCGGAUAACGCACAUAUGCUGGAAUGCUUUAUGCGUCAAAUGGAUUCGUCCGCCCAAGGAUGGGUCUGCGGCCUAUCAGGUAGUAGUGGGUGUAAUGUACCCACUAGCCUACGACGGGUACGGGUUGUGAGAGCAAGAGCCCGGAGAUGGAUUCUGAGACAUGAAUCCAGGCCCUACGGGGCGCAGCAGGCGCGAAAACUUUACAAUGCGGGAAACCGUGAUAAGGGGACACCGAGUGCCAGCGUCAUAUGCUGGCUGUCCGGGUGUGUAAAAUACACCUGUUAGCAAGGGCCGGGCAAGACCGGUGCCAGCCGCCGCGGUAACACCGGCGGCCCGAGUGGUGAUCGUGAUUAUUGGGUCUAAAGGGUCCGUAGCCGGUUUGGUCAGUCCUCCGGGAAAUCUGACGGCUUAACCGUUAGGCUUUCGGGGGAUACUGCCAGACUUGGAACCGGGAGAGGUAAGAGGUACUACAGGGGUAGGAGUGAAAUCUUGUAAUCCCUGUGGGACCACCUGUGGCGAAGGCGUCUUACCAGAACGGGUUCGACGGUGAGGGACGAAAGCUGGGGGCACGAACCGGAUUAGAUACCCGGGUAGUCCCAGCCGUAAACGAUGCUCGCUAGGUGUCAGGCAUGGCGCGACCGUGUCUGGUGCCGCAGGGAAGCCGUGAAGCGAGCCACCUGGGAAGUACGGCCGCAAGGCUGAAACUUAA